rnacentral:rRNA from 1 species
UACGUAGGGCGCAAGCGUUGUCCGGAAUUAUUGGGCGUAAAGAGCUCGUAGGCGGUUUGUCGCGUCUGCUGUGAAAUCCCAGGGCUUAACCCUGGGCCUGCAGUGGGUACGGGCAGACUAGAGUGCGGUAGGGGAGAUCGGAAUUCCUGGUGUAGCGGUGAAAUGCGCAGAUAUCAGGAGGAACACCGGUGGCGAAGGCGGAUCUCUGGGCCGUAACUGACGCUGAGGAGCGAAAGCAUGGGUAGCGAACAGG